UACGGAGGGGGCUAGCGUUGUUCGGAAUUACUGGGCGUAAAGCGCGCGUAGGCGGCUUUGUAAGUUAGAGGUGAAAGCCCGGAGCUUAACUCCGGAACUGCCUUUAAGACUGCAUCGCUAGAAUCGUGGAGAGGUGAGUGGAAUUCCGGGUGUAGUGGUGAAAUGCGUAGAGAUCCGGAGGAACACCAGUGGCGAAGGCGACACGCUGGGCCAUACCUGACGCUAAAGCGCGACAGCAUGGGGAGCAAACGGG
rnacentral:rRNA from 1 species